rnacentral:rRNA from 1 species
UACGUAGGGUGCGAGCGUUGUCCGGAAUUAUUGGGCGUAAAGAGCUCGUAGGCGGUCCGUCGCGUCGAAUGUGAAAACCCGGGGCUCAACCCCGGGCUUGCAUUCGAUACGGGCGGACUAGAGUUCGGUAGGGGAGACUGGAAUUCCUGGUGUAGCGGUGAAAUGCGCAGAUAUCAGGAGGAACACCGGUGGCGAAGGCGGGUCUCUGGGCAGUAACUGACGCUGAGGAGCGAAAGCGUGGGGAGCGAACAGG